CCUACGUGAGGCAGCAGUGAGGAAUAUUGGUCAAUGGGCUUACGCCUGAACCAGCCAAGUCGCGUGAGGGAAGACUGCCCUAUGGGUUGUAAACCUCUUUUGUCAGGGAGCAACGCCGGCUACGUGUAGCCGGACUGAGAGUACCUGAAGAAAAAGCAUCGGCUAACUCCGUGCCAGCAGCCGCGGUAAUACGGAGGAUGCGAGUGUUAUCCGGAUUUAUUGGGUUUAAAGGGUGCGUAGGCGGAAUGCCAAGUCAGCGGUAAAAUCGCGGGGCUCAACCUCGCUCCGCCGUUGAAACUGGCGUUCUUGAGUGGGCGAGAAGUAUGCGGAAUGCGUGGUGUAGCGGUGAAAUGCAUAGAUAUCACGCAGAACUCCGAUUGCGUAGGCAGCAUACCGGCGCCCAACUGACGCUGAAGCACGAAAGCGUGGGUAUCGAACAGGAUUAGAUACCCGGGUAGUC
rnacentral:rRNA from 1 species